rnacentral:rRNA from 1 species
GACGAACGCUGGCGGCGUGCUUAACACAUGCAAGUCGAACGGGCCCGCUCUCUUUUUUGGGGGUGGGUUGAGUGGCGAACGGGUGAGUAUCACGUUAGUAACCUGCCCCCUUCUCCUGGAUAACUGCUUGAAAGUGCCGCUAAUACGGGGUGUGCCGGCUGUUCCGCAUGGGCCUGGUCGUGAUAGUUUCAUCUUCGGGUGUUUCGGUGGGUGAUGGGCUCGCGGCCUAUCAGCUUGUUGGUGGGGUGAUGGCCCACCCAGUCGGUGAUGUGUAGCCGGCGUGAGAGGGUAGGCGGACAGACUGGGAGUGAGAGACGGGACAGACACGUGAGGGAGGCAGCGGUGGGGGGUGACGAACAGUGGGCGGAAGCCUGAUGCAGCGAGGGCGCGUGAGGGAUGGAGUCCUUCGGGUAGUGAACCUCUUUCUCCGGUGGUGAAGGCACUGUAAGAUGCGGCGGGGUUGACGGUAGCCGGAUAUGAAGCGCCGGCUAACUACGUG